rnacentral:lncRNA from 1 species
UCAGCCCAGUUCUUCUUCCAGCAAAGUUUCACAUCUAUGCCUCCGUUUAUGCACAAAGCCCCAGCGUCAACUGGGUUGUGAUAGAAACAAGAGGAGCUAGUUGCCCUUGGAAAUCUGCCGGUGAUGUAGAGGGAAAAAGGAAGCUGGAACAGGAGGGAAGACGGGCUAAAUGUCUGAAGGCUGCUGCCAGCUGGUUUUUGAAUCAACAUAGGUAAGCUUCCUUUCAGUCUCAUGAAGCUCUGCAAAUGACAAUGCCACAGUUUUUCACAACAGCGCUUUUAUUCCUAAGUAGUGAGUGUUCAAA